CCGCCUAUAAAUACCUCUCUCCAUUUCCGCUGCAGCCUCCACCGUUUCGUCUCUCUGAAAUGCUGACUGAAACUCGAAGCUUCUCAUGGACUCCAUCACAACAACAAAGCACCCAUUCAGCUCCUUCAUUCUCAGCCCCUUAAACCCACACACUAAACCCUCCUUCACAGCAAAUUUCUCCCGUUUCAAGAAGCUCAGGAAGUCUUUGGUUUGUUUCUCUCAUAGGCCUUGUUCUAAUUCAAAUCCCAGAAACCCAAGAUGGCCAAAGCCCUUGUCUUUUCGCAAGUUUCCCUUAAACCCUAUCUGGGUUUUGUUCCCGGUCCUCCAGAGCAUCAGGGUUUUAGCUUCUUCAAGGACCCAGAAGUGGGCUUCUUUUGUACAGGCUUAUACAGACUCAGGGAGGCUUGUACAUGAAAAAAGCAACGAUUUUUUGCACAACAGUGGGAUUGGGUUAGCUUUGUUAAGCGUGACCACAGAUGCGAAGGUGAAGAUUAGUCCUUUCGUGGCUCAACUGGCUGCGAAUCCGACCUUUGUUUCGGGGAUGUUUGCUUGGUUUAUGGCACAGUCGAUCAAAGUGGUGUUGAAUUUCUUUGUGGAGAGGAAGUGGGAUUUGAGGAUAUUGUAUGCUUCUGGAGGCAUGCCUUCGUCUCAUUCGGCUUUGUGCACUGCUUUGACGACAUCUGUGGCGCUUUGUCAUGGUGUUGCGGACUCAUUGUUUCCGGUUUGUUUGGGGUUUAGCCUCAUUGUUAUGUAUGAUGCUAUUGGGGUUAGGAGACAUGCUGGUAUGCAAGCUGAGGUAAGAAGCAAUUUUCUGUCUUUAUUUGCGUUCUGCUUGAUCUGUUUGGUUUUGGUGUUGCUGAUGUUCAUAACAUUUUGAUUUAUUACUGUGCUGUGACUAUGUUUUGGUUAGUCAGUAAAGUAUCUGUGGGUUGGUAUUCUGAUAAUCUAGAUGAUGGAGUUGGAUUUAUUCGGUUGAAGUUGCUAUAAAAUUCCAAUGACAGUUUCGGUUUGGUUUGGGGUAAAUGGUAUGGAAUAUGACUGUUGUUGUAUAAGCCGAAUAUAUUCUGUAUGUAGUCUGCACCUUGCAUUUGAAGAAUAGUUUUUGGGGCACUGAUAUACCUAUUUCAGUAGUUAGAAGACUUGGGGUGAUAGGUUCAGUCUUUUAGAGGUGGGGUUCGGAUUUGUAUGGAUGUCUUUGAUUUUCAUCCCUGUUUAGUGUUAGGGUAUACCCUGCUUUGGAAUUUCUGCUUUGUUUGAUGUUCAAUGAGGUAUUGUUGUGGCUUUCUUGGCAGAUUGUUAUUAUGAUUGAUUAGUGUAAUAAUGUCUUAUGUAAUCUCUGGAGUCCUGCAACACUGGUAUACUGCAAUUCUAUGAAAGAAUAUGAGAUGGAUGUGCGAUAGUUGGGGUGCUGAAUGUAGUCGUAGAGUACUUAUUCCAAGGGCAUCCAAUCAGCCAAAAGAAGCUCAAGGAACUCCUUGGUCACACCCCCUCCCAGGUUCUUGCUGGAGCUGUCCUCG